rnacentral:lncRNA from 1 species
AGGCGAUCAAAGCAAGAAAAUAACUUUUUUUUAGAUAAAUUUUCUACUUCGUGUUCUAUAAGGGGCUGGGACAGCCUCCUAUAGUAGAGCUCUUCUAGACUAAAGCAUAGAAUGUUUUUUCGAGAUCCUCCAAGGUUUUUUUUCAUCUAGAAAGGCAGUAGAAUUCCUAGGAUUCACAUUGGUAAGCUUGCACUGCUAGGGUUUCCUUGGAGAAGUGGCUGAAGGAUUUGAAUAAAAUAUGGAUCUCUUGCUCUGGACGGGGCUAUGGGAGAGGGAAUGGGGGUGCAAUCAGGCCAAUUCUCUUCUGGAGGUCAUUUUCUAAUCUUCACGGAAUGCUGGGAGAAGAAGUGCAAUUUUCACAAAACGAUUAAGCUCUAGAUACUGAAGGACAAGUGUUUCAACUCCUUGAUGAAGCUACUUCACAUUGCCUGGCCUAAGAUGAAAGUGUGCAGGCUCUAUGAUGCACAUUUGUUCUUGUUUAUCUUCUUUAGCCCCUCCAGUUUUAUAUAGUUUAAAGUAAUUUCUCAGCCUCCUAAACGAGAAAUUAUGUCUCUCAAAACUUAAACCUUGUAAGUCAUAACUAGAAUGCAAGGUAUGAUGCAGAGGAAGGUGGGUUGUCUGUUUAAUGCAAUGUCUGUAAGAAACAAACUUGUACAAUUUCCACAUAACAUUAUGUUCAUGAAAGCAAAAUGCUUGCCUAAGCAACAGAAAAUAACCUUCUCACAAGCUUUUUCUAGUCACU